GCGGGGUGGAGCAGCCCGGUAGCUCGUCAGGCUCAUAACCUGAAGGUCGUAGGUUCAAAUCCUACCCCCGCAA
rnacentral:tRNA from 1 species